CGAGUCAGCCAGCGCCCGCAGCAAUUCCCCACGCCCCCUCCCCAUGCCCUCCACCUCAUCUCUUGACGCCGCCAGAGGGAGCUUCUCCCAUGCCCUCCUCAUCUCUUACCACCGGCUGGAGGGAGCUCCGCCGCUCUCCUUCAGUACACCGCUCCUCUUUCCCCAAGGCGACGAAAAUCACAAAACGGGGGCACACCAUAUGGCCAGGGGCUCCUACAUCGCUGCUUGGGUCAUCGGUGGCGGUGCUGGCAUUGAAGGAUGGGGCGGCAAUGCCAUUGUAGUCUUGGAAAAGCAGCUCGGGCAGAGGAAGAGGACGCGCCCGGCAUAGGAGGAGGUUGGGCGGGAGACGAUUGUUCUGCUGCAGGUACGUGAAUAGGGUGUCCAGGUUGACACGCUGGCCUCCUCUAGCAGCCCCUCUGCCCCGCGCCAGCUCUUGCCCCUCGCUUGCCACCUCCUGCGACACUGGUGUUCAGCUCGCAUGCGAGGUGUUCUAGCAAUUGACCAAACCGAGCCAAGCCUAAGCAUGAACGAUGGUCACGUACUUUUCUUCGUCAAGUAGUCCAGUACUGCACCAGAAGCGACGUCGGCCGAACAGGCGGAGAGGAAGAGGCCACAGAAGGAUUCUUGCAUCCAAAUGUGAGUUUCAGGUUCACGGUCUGGAUGGUGGAUUCGUUCUUCGAUGGCCAGACCAUCCAUGUCAAGCAGCGGCAUGAGAAGAGCUCCGGCGAGCUCAUCAUGUGCCGGUGCAUCUCACCUUCAAGCACAUGCUGCAGACUCCGACUGUUCUUUCUUUGCUGGAUGUUCGGCCCGCUGAUGCUGCAUGGAAGCAUUCAAAGUGAAAAAAAAUCUUCAUAUACCUUCCUGUGUGGGAGUAUUAUGCCGAGCCUCCCCAGCAAGGUUUUCAAUAUUAAGGGGGAAAUUUGAAGGUGUAUAAGGGAUGGGUUCAAGCGGUGCUGGGACAUGUAUAGAGAAGGAGCUCAUUAUAUAUGGAGACAAGUUUUGAAUUGGGGCGUGUUGCUUCCUACCUGAUGGUGUAGACGUUAGAUGAGGGAUCUACAUAUAAGUAGAAUGUCACAUAUAUGGAUGUUGUAUCUUGGACGAUUCAUAGAAAAGAAGCCAAAGAACGAUUCAUCA